rnacentral:rRNA from 1 species
ACUGACGAGUUUGAUCAUGGCUCAGAUUGAACGCUGGCGGAAUGCUUUACACAUGCAAGUCGAACGGUAGAGGGGGCAACCCCUUGAGAGUGGCGAACGGGUGAGUAAUAUAUCGGAACGUGCCCAGUCGUGGGGGAUAACGUAGCGAAAGUUACGCUAAUACCGCAUACGAUCUAAGGAUGAAAGCGGGGGGAUCGCAAGACCUCGCGCGAUUGGAGCGGCCGAUAUCAGAUUAGGUAGUUGGUGAGGUAAAGGCUCACCAAGCCAACGAUCUGUAGCUGGUCUGAGAGGACGACCAGCCACACUGGAACUGAGACACGGUCCAGACUCCUACGGGAGGCAGCAGUGGGGAAUUUUGGACAAUGGACGAAAGCCUGAUCCAGCCAUGCCGCGUGUGUGAAGAAGGUCUUCGGAUUGUAAAGCACUUUAAGUUGGGAGGAAGGGUAGUAACCUAAUACGUUGCUACUUUGACGUUACCGACAGAAUAAGCACCGGCUAACUUCGUG